rnacentral:lncRNA from 1 species
GUGGAAUUCCCUCCUAUAACUGAGAAUGAAACCAUAACUGAUACCUUUAAAAUCACACAUAUGGUUUCUGUUUUUAAAUAUUCUCUGAGUCACAGAUGUCUGGCAGGCCAGUCAGUACUGAGAAAAGAAAAAAUAUUUACAAUUCUAGGUCACUAUUUCUCACAAAAAAAAAAUCAGUAAAGAAAGUUGAAAACCACUUGCAUGUCACCAAUCCUUAAAUUUCAUUUGGGUGCUGGAGUAUUUAAUUUGAGGGAAGAAAGUGAAGCUUUCCUGUGCAGGAAAGUUUUUCCCACAUGGCACCUUAAAGAUGCAACUAUGAACUAUUCAAACAUAUCACUUUCCCUCUCCCAGCGUGACAAAAUCUUCUCUCCAGAGGUUUACAUCUUUGCCAGACUUAGUUUAGUCCCUUCUCCCCUGCGAGGCCAACUGGAGCUGAUCAGUUGUUGUUGUUGAAUAGGAUCCCACAG